AGCGAGUGAGGAGGCGAAAUCAUCUGAAUAUUUUUCUACUGUAGAUAAUACCAACAUGGUUAGGGUUAUCUGAUCGCU